rnacentral:rRNA from 1 species
AAGUCGUAGCGAACAGAUAAGGAGCUUGCUCCUUUGACGUUAGCGGCGGACGGGUGAGUAACACGUGGGUAACCUACCUAUAAGACUGGAAUAACUCCGGGAAACCGGGGCUAAUGCCGGAUAACAUUUAGAACCGCAUGGUUCUAAAGUGAAAGAUGGUUUUGCUAUCACUUAUAGAUGGACCCGCGCCGUAUUAGCUAGUUGGUAAGGUAACGGCUUACCAAGGCAACGAUACGUAGCCGACCUGAGAGGGUGAUCGGCCACACUGGAACUGAGACACGGUCCAGACUCCUACGGGAGGCAGCAGUAGGGAAUCUUCCGCAAUGGGCGAAAGCCUGACGGAGCAACGCCGCGUGAGUGAUGAAGGUCUUCGGAUCGUAAAACUCUGUUAUUAGGGAAGAACAAAUGUGUAAGUAACUAUGCACGUCUUGACGGUACCUAAUCAGAAAGCCACGGCUAACUACGUGCCAGCAGCCGCGGUAAUACGUAGGUGGCAAGCGUUAUCCGGAAUUAUUGGGCGUAAAGCGCGCGUAGGCGGUUUCUUAAGUCUGAUGUGAAAGCCCACGGCUCAACCGUGGAGGGUCAUUGGAAACUGGGAAACUUGAGUGCAGAAGAGGAAAGUGGAAUUCCAUGUGUAGCGGUGAAAUGCGCAGAGAUAUGGAGGAACACCAGUGGCGAAGGCGACUUUCUGGUCUGUAACUGACGCUGAUGUGCGAAAGCGUGGG